GUUUUCUCAACUCUCGUACUGAGAGUUGAUGAGAGUUGAGAAGCGAGAGUUUGCAUGAGAGUUUUCUCAACUCUCGUGCCCCGGUCAAACGAGAACAAGAGUUGCAUGAGAGUUGAUGAGAGUUGAGAAGCGAGAGUUUGCAUGAGAGUUUUCUCAACUCUCGUACUCUGGUCAAACGAGAACAAGAGUUGCAUGAGAGUUGAUGAGAGUUGAGAAGCGAGAGUUUGCAUGAGAGUUUUCUCAACUCUC